UGUGUGUGUGUGAGAGAGAGAAAGGUAAAUCAUGAUGGCAGAAGGUUUAUUAGUGUCUGCUUUACAAGUACAAUCUAUUUACAGCGAGCGGUAUUAGAAAAAACUAGAUUCCAGUUCUGCACAAUAACCAUGGGGGCGGUGCGUCGUCAUGGCAACAGAGAGAGCGAGCCAAUGCUAGGCGGUAAAAGGACCUGCAUCUUCACUGCUGAUUAUGAUGCCUUUUAUUUUGAAAUCCACAUGACUUUGCUGUUCAGUUGGCCAGUCGCAGGUGGUAGGUGACCAUGUGGAAGUUGUCCCAGGCAAACAGCUUCCUCUGCUGGUGGUUGUAGUCCACCAUGCUGUUGUAACCGUACUGGUUCUUGAACGGCACCGAGAUGGCCCGGCUGGCCCGGGUGGCGGUGUCGUAGACGUGGUUGAGGGUGGUGUUGGCGGCGGUGUAGCUGGCCACCGUGUACAGACGACCACACGCCAUGAAGGCGUUGGCCGCCGUGUUCUUCCUGAUGUUGGUCUCCCAGCUCUUCUUCACCUCCAGGCUCUCAGGGUCCAGCUGGGAGAGCACAAUGCUGCCUUUGGCUUUGCUGGUGCUGUAGAUGGCCCACAGAGCCCGCUCGUCCACCGCCAGGUCGAUGUCGGUGUAGCCCCCCCAGGAGUAGGGGUACUGGCCGUGGAAGCCUGCGUGAGGUAGGUCCCGGCGUGAUGCCAGGCUCUCGGAGGCCACGUCAUAGCGGAUGAGAGUACGGCUGCGUUUGCGCUGGUAGUAGAGCGAGCCGCGGUACAUGGUUGCACCCGUGCUCUCCACGGGUUCCGGCAGGACAAACACUUUCAUGGGGAAACCACGAGAAAACUGGUCCAUGUCUUCGUACGCAAACAGCUGACGGACAUCUUUGCCCACCGUGUCGAUACGCCACACCGUCUUGUUGGUGUACUGCGUGCCUCGGGGCUCAGGAUCCUGUAGCCACACUCCGUACUUCCCUGUGAUACCGUCAGCCUUCCUAUGCAACACCGGAUCUCCCACCGACAACACCUCACCACAACCUGAAGGAAGGCACAUUUUUGCAACGUGGUACUUUGGGUUUGGAGUAUCCGAGGGCGUCAACUUACCCGAGACAUUUCCACCAGGAAGGAGGCGGGAUGCUGGGACCUCUGUGACCUCAGCCUUCAUCUCCUGCAGGUUCCGUCUUACACUGUCGUGGCUUUCCUGAAAAUGAGGCACGUAAACAAGCCUGAGUGACAAAGUCAUAAAGGAAACAUUCCAAUGGUGUUACACAACCCGAGGCCAUGACUGCAACCUGAGCCGUCCCCCUUCAGAGACGUCAUAGUCUCUGCCUGAGGCCGUCCGUCUCCUGACUGAGCUCUCUCACCCUCGCCUGGAGGUCCUGGACCUGUCUCUUCAGACGGUCCUUGUCUUGGCGCAGCUGGUUUCUUUCCCCUGUCAGCUGGGAAAAACCUUCCUGGAAGCCCACCUCAACGUCAGCUCCCAUCUCUCUCCUCGCGAUCAGGCGGCUGACCAGAGCCUCCAGCGAGGUGAGCCGAGACAGAACUCCUUCCGUCUCGGCUCUCCCGCUGCAGCCCGACUCCUGCGGGCUGGGGACGGUGAAGGUGUACUGGCAACGUCCCGCAGCAUCGUUAGCGUGACGCAGGGAUGCCUGGUCUUCAGCCUGGAGUUGACUGACCAACGUGAGGAAGGUCAGACCCAGAAGAGCCGCUUGGAGCCACAUUCUGCAGGUUUUUUAAAGUUACUACCCCUGAAAAGGAUUCUUCUACCUUCCGGGUCAGUGCAGUCUGUAUCCCAGCCCUGCUGAGAGGGAUAUUUAUACGGUCACAGGGUGGGAGGAGUACGUGCCAAGCAGCCCAGGGGUGUGGGCAGUCCAUACAGAGCCCGGUCGCUAACAAACAACGUGGAAAAACACACCACUUGAUUUUGUUUACCCUGUGGUUGCGUCUCAGCAGGGGGUGACGUCCUUGCACGGGAUAUUUUGACUGGACAGCAUCCUUGAUGUUGUUGACUUCCUCCGUAAGUGAUAGUUUUACACUGCCACUUAAUGGCGGUUAAUGAGCGCUAUGGUUCGACUUCGGGGCUGGAGGGGUAAGUGUUUAGGACUCUGUCAACAUGCAGCCACAACGUGUUGACCCAGAUUGUGCUUCCAGACAUCCCAAUGAAGGCCGGCUGCCGGACACAGGUGCUCCUGUUUAUUGUUCUUCCAACCCAACCAUGAACUUUUCACAACGUCCGAUUAGUGUCCCGUCUGAAGUUGUUUUUGUCGUCCUCUCUGCUCACACACCCAUCAUUGGCAGACACUUUAUGAUCGUAUUGGUAGACAACCUUUAAUGUCCACUAUCCAUUGGUUAGUUGGUUGGUUCCAUUAACGGAGUCAUCAGAUACACUACCAAAAUAAACAUGUUUCUUCUCCCAGUAACCUUCAUUCUUUUUCACUUCACGCCAACAGUGAAAUUGCACGUUUUAUUUCAUCCAUCCAUCCAUCCAUUUUCUACCGC